rnacentral:tRNA from 1 species
GGCUUGUGGCUCAGUGGUAAAGUGCUCUCCUAGCACGUGUAAGGCACUGGGUUUGAUCCUCAGCAUCA